rnacentral:rRNA from 1 species
AGCGAACGCUGGCGGCAGGCUUAACACAUGCAAGUCGAACGCAUCCUUCGGGGUGAGUGGCAGACGGGUGAGUAACACGUGGGAACGUACCUCUUUGUUCGGAAUAACUCAUGGAAACGUGAGCUAAUACCGGAUACGCCCUUUUGGGGAAAGAUUUAUCGCAGAGAGAUCGGCCCGCGUCUGAUUAGCUAGUUGGUGAGGUAAUGGCUCACCAAGGCGACGAUCAGUAGCUGGUCUGAGAGGAUGAUCAGCCACACUGGGACUGAGACACGGCCCAGACUCCUACGGGAGGCAGCAGUGGGGAAUAUUGGACAAUGGGCGCAAGCCUGAUCCAGCCAUGCCGCGUGAGUGAUGAAGGCCUUAGGGUUGUAAAGCUCUUUUGUCCGGGAAGAUAAUGACUGUACCGGAAGAAUAAGCCCCGGCUAACUUCGUGCCAGCCGCCGCCGUAAGAC